AGUUAGAAAUGCAUAUCACUGAUAUCAUAUAUAAAAGGGGGGAUAACUCUCAUAUGGAGUCUCCGGAUAGCUUCGGUUGAAAUGAAACAGAACAUCCUAAGGAUAUAACGAGCAAUUUGGAAAAAUAAAUUUGUCGGUUUCUUAUACGGUUGCGAAGGAGUAGUGGCCACAAGAAAAACAGUGUUUGGGGAGAUAACUCUUACAAGGUAAAGUUUUUUGUUACGCGGUGUCAGUUUCAGAAGCGUAUUAACUGUUCGAUAUCAUAUUCCAUAUAUCUAAGCGACAUCUUGUUGAAACAAAAAAAACAGCGAAGGAAAAAAAAGUUGGCG
rnacentral:lncRNA from 1 species